rnacentral:rRNA from 1 species
UACGAACGCUGGCGGCGUGCUUAACACAUGCAAGUCGAACGGAAAGGCCCUUCGGGGUACUCGAGUGGCGAACGGGUGAGUAACACGUGGGUGAUCUGCCCUGCACUUUGGGAUAAGCCUGGGAAACUGGGUCUAAUACCGAAUAGGACCACGCGCUUCAUGGUGUGUGGUGGAAAGCUUUUGCGGUGUGGGAUGGGCCCGCGGCCUAUCAGCUUGUUGGUGGGGUAAUGGCCUACCAAGGCGACGACGGGUAGCCGGCCUGAGAGGGUGACCGGCCACACUGGGACUGAGAUACGGCCCAGACUCCUACGGGAGGCAGCAGUGGGGAAUAUUGCACAAUGGGCGCAAGCCUGAUGCAGCGACGCCGCGUGAGGGAUGACGGCCUUCGGGUUGUAAACCUCUUUCAAUAGGGACGAAGCGCAAGUGACGGUACCUAUAGAAGAAGCACCGGCCAACUACGUGC